UACGGAGGGUGCGAGCGUUGUCCGGAAUCACUGGGCGUAAAGGGCGCGUAGGCGGCGCGGAUAGUCGGCGGUGAAAGCCCGGAGCUCAACUCCGGGUCGGCCGUCGAUACUUCCGGGCUUGAGCACUGUAGAGGCAGAUGGAAUUCCGGGUGUAGCGGUGGAAUGCGUAGAGAUCCGGAAGAACACCGGUGGCGAAGGCGGUUCUCUGGGCCUGUACUGACGCUGAGGAGCGAAAGCGUGGGGAGCGAACAGG
rnacentral:rRNA from 1 species